AUUUACCACCAGGACAUUUCACCCUGUAUUUUGUUGUAGUGGGGGGAUCGUAACUGUAUUUAGACUUUAUAUGGCAUGGGCUACUCGGUUCACAACAGCAGCACCUGCAGCACAUUAAUUAAUUAUCUCAUAGCUUCCAUUUAGUCUGCAGCUGUUGCUACUAUGUUAAUAUUUUUAUCACCACUGUAUACAACAGGUUAUGGGAAUAAAAGAAAUAUCUCUUUUUGGGGGAGCUUCCCCCCUGUCAUUUCCAUUUUUCUAUGUCAGAAGAGAAGACUGAAAGAAAUUCAGACAAAUCAAGCCCCCUCAGCGCACUAGAACGUUCUAUUUCUGAACUGAUUUGUAAGAGAAUGGGUAACUGAAGUUAGCAGAGAAUCACCCCACACAAAGAUGGCGCGUGCAGAAUUUGUGAAAGCGAACAAGGAGAAGGACAAGCCAGAGAGGACGGAGCACUGCAGAGCUGGGGUGCUGGAGUCCAGAAAUGAUUUUUUUCGAUGAAUUUAGGAUUUUGCCGCAGUAUGCAUCUGCAGUCCCAGAAUCCUCCGGUAAGCUAAUCCUUCUUGCGAUGGGAAACGCCUUUAACCUUCCUCUGAGUGAAAUAUCUGCGGCCAUUUUGAAAUUUUUAACAGAGGGGUUGUGUGCGUGCGUGUGUGGCUUCGCGGCGUGGGUGUUGGGGGUAUGUGUCUCCACAGCAUGAUUUCUAGCACCGCUGAAGGAUCCGUCUCAGCUCCCAGCAACACUGAGAAGCAUCUAUCUUUCUGUUCUCUGAACAUCACGGACGGUGUCUCCACGGCUUCUCUGUCCACGCUCACGGUAGCCACUGAGGCGUCCUUUCUUAGCAGGGCAAACAACGAAGGCCUGGAAGAAACAGGGCUCCAAGCAGGAAGGGAGUCUGGACAUAAGCAAAGGAACUGGGCCACGGCCACCACCUCCGCCACCUUCCCGGCCCCUCUCGGCAGAGCACAUUAGCUGCCAGCUCCGAGUGGCCAUCCGCCGCCCAUGCCCAGUGGGCUCCUUGAUUCCUUCUCUGUGAGAAAACAGCUAGCCACGUAGGCUGACAGAGGCAUUUACAGCGACAGCCCGCUCAGCUGGAAAGAAAUCAAAAGACAACCCUGAACCCUGAGAUGAUGCAUUGUAAAUCAAAAGUCCCAAUCCGUAAAUAGCCCACUCGAUGAACUGCUAAACGAAAGCUGAUGCUGAUUUUUGUUCAGCAUUUGCAUGUAGUCAUACAGAAACGUUUUUAAUGUCUUCUACAAGAGCCACGAUUGAUUAUUUUCCAAUGCAUAGAAUGUUGCUUCCUGUUAUGUUUUGCUGGGAGGUAUUCUUCCUGAGGGCCUUGGAUGUGGUGUCCAGAGGUGACCACACCCCAGCCCCAUAGCCUGUUUUCUACCCUUUCGCUUAUUUUCAAGCAGGGUUGACUAACAGUUUCAAUCUUACAUUACACUAAGGGCCCGAGUCAAAAGGAGCCAGUCAUCCAUUUCCCUCUCUGAAAGAAGUUCAUUGUCUCAGGCCCUCAAUAAAUGUUUAAUUAAUGGAUUUGAUAGAGUUAAGUAUCCAAAAAGGGCCUGGACCAUCUUCAUAAAGCUGGCUUAGCAUUUCUUCUGCCUGACGUGCAAAAACAAGAUAGGAAUUUAUUUAUGUGCCUGGCUAAAAGUAAUUCAUAAGUGUGUUUCAGUGUAGGGAUGCUUUUUGUUCAGGUUCUGUGUCGCCAGUCCGUGGUGUGCCAAUGGCUGGUAUCGCAACAUGCACUGUCUCCUCCAGCUGGAGACACUUUUGGUUUCUAGGAACACAGCCUAAAAUUCAGAACCUUUUGUUUGUCGCCAUUUCACAAAAUGAAUCCAUUUACAUCAAACCCAUUGGGCUGGCUCUAGAAGAAAAAAUGAAAAACAACCCAAGUAGUCUUUCUUAAUGAACUGUAUUGCUCAAGGACAAUAUCUUGAAUAAUUAGUUUUACAAAAUCACUUAUUCCACUCAUUAUUUUGAUGCUGUAUCUCUGUAUCUUUCCCCCCCCCCCCGUGUGUGUGUGUGUGUGUGUGUGUGGUUUGCCAUUUCUUUUUGGUUUAAUGAUAGUAUUAGUCUUAAUUUCACAGACAUUAUCCAGCUCAUAGUCUGGUGAGACAAUUGGAACAAUUUCUGUCUUACGAGAUAAGCAAAUAAAAAUUCUAAGAAUUUGUUAAAUUCUAACUUGUUUUCAGGCCACUCACUCAAUAAUUCUUCAGUACACUUAAAUUUGAUGGGAAAAACAGCAGGG
ensembl:lncRNA